AUGAACGCUAGCUACAGGCUUAACACAUGCAAGUCGAGGGGAAACGACAUCGAAAGCUUGCUUUUGAUGGGUGUCGACCGGCGCACGGGUGAGUAACGCGUAUCCAACCUGCCCACCACUUGGGGAUAACCUUGCGAAAGUAAGACUAAUACCCAAUGAUAUCUCUAGAAGACAUCUGAAAGAGAUUAAAGAUUUAUCGGUGAUGGAUGGGGAUGCGUCUGAUUAGCUUGUUGGCGGGGUAACGGCCCACCAAGGCAACGAUCAGUAGGGGUUCUGAGAGGAAGGUCCCCCACAUUGGAACUGAGACACGGUCCAAACUCCUACGGGAGGCAGCAGUGAGGAAUAUUGGUCAAUGGACGAGAGUCUGAACCAGCCAAGUAGCGUGCAGGAAGACUGCCCUAUGGGUUGUAAACUGCUUUUAUAAGGGAAUAAAGUGAGUCUCGUGAGACUUUUUGCAUGUACCUUAUGAAUAAGGACCGGCUAAUUCCGUGCCAGCAGCCGCGGUAAUACGGAAGGUCCGGGCGUUAUCCGGAUUUAUUGGGUUUAAAGGGAGCGUAGGCCGGAGAUUAAGCGUGUUGUGAAAUGUAGAUGCUCAACAUCUGAACUGCAGCGCGAACUGGUUUCCUUGAGUACGCACAAAGUGGGCGGAAUUCGUGGUGUAGCGGUGAAAUGCUUAGAUAUCACGAAGAACUCCGAUUGCGAAGGCAGCUCACUGGAGCGCAACUGACGCUGAAGCUCGAAAGUGCGGGUAUCGAACAGGAUUAGAUACCCUGGUAGUCCACGCCGUAAACGAUGUCGACUUGGAGGUUGUGCCCUUGAGGCGUGGCUUCCGGAGCUAACGCGUUAAGUCGACCGCCUGGGGAGUACGGCCGCAAGGUUAAAACUCAAAUGAAUUGACGGGGGCCCGCACAAGCGGAGGAACAUGUGGUUUAAUUCGAUGAUACGCGAGGAACCUUACCCGGGCUUGAAAGUUAGCGACGGAUCUGGAAACAGGUCUUCCCUUCGGGGCGCGAAACUAGGUGCUGCAUGGUUGUCGUCAGCUCGUGCCGUGAGGUGUCGGCUUAAGUGCCAUAACGAGCGCAACCCCUCUCCUUAGUUGCCAUCAGGUCAAGCUGGGCACUCUGGGGACACUGCCACCGUAAGGUGUGAGGAAGGUGGGGAUGACGUCAAAUCAGCACGGCCCUUACGUCCGGGGCUACACACGUGUUACAAUGGCAGGUACAGAGAGACGGUCCCUUGCAAAACGGAUCAAAUCCUUAAAGCCUGUCUCAGUUCGGACUGGGGUCUGCAACCCGACCCCACGAAGCUGGAUUCGCUAGUAAUCGCGCAUCAGCCAUGGCGCGGUGAAUACGUUCCCGGGCCUUGUACACACCGCCCGUCAAGCCAUGAAAGCCGGGGGCGCCUAAAGUCCGUGACCGUAAGGAGCGGCCUAGGGCGAAACUGGUAAUUGGGGCU
rnacentral:rRNA from 1 species